CCCACUGCUAAGAUUUAUUCAGCACCAUGAACUGGUAGAAAUGAAGUAAACCUAUCAGAAGAGUGACAGGUGUAGAGUCUCUUGUGCCCAGGGGCUCCCAUUCAAUGUGAAUUGUAUUUUAUAAUAUACCAAGAGCCCCCAAACACAGAAGUGACCUGGACCUCUCUCAGCAUCUGUAGAGGAAGCAUUUUAGAAAAGCGGAAAAUAAAAGAGAUAGGAGCUAUAAGAAGGUAAUACAAGUUAAAUGAAGUUAUAAGGAUGGAACUUUGAUCUGACAAGACUGGUGCCCUUGUAAGAAGAGACAACAGAGAUCUCUCUCUCUCUGUGAGCACAAAGAGAAGAGGCCAUGUGGAGACACAGGGAGAAAGCAACAGUCUACAAGCCAGGAAGAGAGUUCUCACCAGAAACCAACUUGAUGGCACCUUGCUCUUAGACUUCUAGCCUCCAGAAUGGGCCUGAUGCAGAAGUGCUUCUCCUUCCCCUUGCCCCUGGACCUGAGCCGGAGCUGUCUAUCUACAUGAGGACACCAUCUGGCAACACUGAAAUGUUGCCCUCACUGUAUGCCAUCACCAGGAAGACAAGCAAUAGAUGAUGAGUGAAAAUAAAAUGUUUAGUUGGAAACUAUUUGGGAAUGGCUUUAUGUCCACAUAUGGACACAGCCUGGCUGGAACUGGGGAGAUCUUCCCUUUCUGGUGUCUUUUCAAGGUCUUGAGAUGAGCUCUAACAAAUAUCUCAGGCCAUCUGGCCUAGUUUUUCAUAAUUGUGACUCCUAAAUGUAAACACGGUCCGAGAGAAUAUCGGGAACAAAAAAAAGGCUAAUGAAAUUCUUCUAAUUUAACGGAGUUGUUCUGAGUCUCAUUCAGUUACUUAAACAUUUUUUUCUUUCCUUCUCGCAGUCAUCAAUCCUGGAAAAUCU
rnacentral:lncRNA from 10 species